rnacentral:tRNA from 1 species
AGCCCGGGCAUCUAUUUCUUGUUAUUGCUCCUCCAAAUUUGCAAUUUGGCGUGAUUUCCACCUCCGGGCUUG